rnacentral:rRNA from 1 species
UACGGAGGAUGCGAGCGUUAUCCGGAUUUAUUGGGUCUAAAGGGUGCGUAGGCGGACUGUCAAUCAGCGGUAAAAUUGAGAGGCUCAACCUCUUCCCGCCGUUGAAACUGGUGGUCUUGAGUGGAUGAGAAGUACGCGGAAUGCGUGGUGUAGCGGUGAAAUGCAUAGAUAUCACGCAGAACUCCGAUUGCGAAGGCAGCGUACCGGCAUCCAACUGACGCUGAGGCACGAAAGCGUGGGGAUCAAACAGG